GACAGAGGGUGCAAGCGUUGUCCGGAAUCAUUGGGCGUAAAGAGCGUGUAGGCGGCCCGGUAAGUCCGCUGUGAAAGUCGGGGGCUCAACCCUCGAAUGCCGGUGGAUACUGUCGGGCUAGAGUGCGGAAGAGGCGAGUGGAAUUCCUGGUGUAGCGGUGAAAUGCGCAGAUAUCAGGAGGAACACCAAUUGCGAAGGCAGCUCGCUGGGACGUAACUGACGCUGAGACGCGAAAGCGUGGGGAGCAAACAGG
rnacentral:rRNA from 1 species